UUUUAUUCUAAAGGUGGAAAGGUAAACCAAGAUUAGAAAUACAAGAAAGGGGAAGGGAAGGGAAGGAAGGGAAGCGGGAGAGGAAGAGGGAAGGGAAGUGGUGAAAAACAGGGUGAAAAAAGUAAAAAGAGUUGGAGGGAAAAAGAGAGGGCAUUGGGGAGGAGCGGUGCUGCCUCAGGUCCUUCCCCGCCGUGGGGCGAAGGAGCCGUUUGAUGCCCGGGAGGGAGUGCAGGUCCCGGUGGCUCCCGGGGGACGGAGCUGUGGCUGUCAGCCCGAGACUCCAACUCCCGGCAGGCCCUGCUGCUGGCGCGGCGUGUGACGCAACGGGCGACGCGGCCCGGCAUUUUUCUCUAAAUCGGCAGUAAAUACAGCUGAGUAAAAUUAGCUUGGUUUUCUUCCUUCUUUUGUAACUGAACUGUUUUUAUUAAAAAUCCUAUUUGAAUAUGUGGAAAAAGUGGGGAUGUCCUGUAAUAUAUCGUAGCUUUUCUUGUUUACAGGGUACUGAGAAAAUACGUCUCCCUUAGAGUCCCGCGGAAAGGUUCUCAGUGCGAUCUCUAUCAAGUGCUAUGAGUCUUGAUAAAUUGGAGAAGAGCCCAAGAGAAAUUUUUCAUCCCUUGAUAUAAAAGGGAUCAGUGAAUUUUAACUUUGGAGUCCCCUAUGCUAAGGAUGCUCAGCUUACAGGUGAUGAAAUGUUCAGUAAUGUAUUUGCUGCAGCUCUGCUUACCCAAGCUUUGGGUUCCUUCUGUCCCACUGGGAGUUGCCCAGUUUGGUUGCAUCUGGUGAAAUUCACCCUGAGACCUUACAGAACCAGCUCCAACUACGUGAGAGCCAUUUGCAGUUCUCUCCAGACACCUGGAGAAUGGGCGACGUUUCUGAGGAUCCGGCGAGCGUGCUUCUAUCAAAACUCAGUCUGUGAAAUUCCUGGGGAAAACCCUUCUGUGUCCUGAAGGGUUCAAACU